CCUGCUUUGGCCUCCCAUAGUGCUGGGAUUAGACCGGGAAUUUUCCUUUUAUUAAGUGCUCUCAAUUUGUAAGGGAGCCAUCUCAGAAUUUUCUCUCUUCUGGCUGGGGAUGAGAGCCAACGUCUUCAUUUCAGAGCAUCUCAGCCGCAUCAGGGGGAUCGUCACACUCUCUGCCAUGAAUAGGUGCCACGGGAUGAAGAGGAGAGUUUCCUGUCAAGGCUGCUGUGUUUUGUUUUUGUUUUGUAGAUAUGGGGUUUCACCAUGUUGCCCAGGCUGGUCUCUAACUCCUGGGCUCAAGGGAUCCACCCGCUUUGACCUCCCAAAUUGUUGGGAUUACAGGUAUGAGCCACAGUGCCUGCCUAAGGUUGCUUUCUGUGUGAAUCAAAGAGGCAUUCAAUAAAUAGUUGUGGGAUUAAUGAAUGUCAUUUCAAGGAGGGUUAAAAGCCAUGGACACCAUCUGUAAAGGGUGUUAUAAUUUGGUUAUCCAGGAAAACAGAAAAUUUCAGCAGUUAUUUGAGAUUUCCAGAAGGGUGAGUAGUUUUGGGACUUGGGGAGAAGGAAUUGGGGUGCUGGGUUUCCAUUCAACAAGUAUGUUUUCCAGCCUGGCCAACACGGCAAAACCUCGUCUCUACUAAAAAUACAAAUAUUACCUGGGUGUGGUGGUGGGUGCCUGUAGCUACUUGGGAGGCUGAGGCAGGAGGAUCGCUUGAACUCCGGAGGCAAGGCAGAGGUUGCAGUGAGCCAAGGUUGCACCACUGCACUCCAUCCUGGGCGACAGAGUGAGACUCCGUCUCAAAAAAAUAAAAUAAUAAAAAAAAAACCACAAGUAUUUUUAGAGAACAUGCAGGCAUUUUGCUAGAGCUAUAUCCAUGAAUGAGACAGACCAGGUACUGCCCUCCUAGGGCUUACAGUCUGGUGAGGGCACAGGCAACAAUAAGAUGAUGUGGUAAUUACUGGGAGGGGGCAGGAAAGAGAGAGAGCAAAGCAGAUUCCAGGAGAAACAGGAGGGAAGAAGGGCUGGGGGAAUAGACUGGCAUAUGCAAAGGUCUAGAGGAGGAAAGAGCAGGUUUAGUCAAAGAACUCAAAAUAGUUCAGCACGGUCAGACUUUGGAGUCUGGUGAGGGACAGGAUGUACAAGCAAGGGGACUCAAUCCAUACAUUCCAGGCAGCCUUCCCCAAGGCGUUCCCCUUGGGGAAAAGCUAAAUUUGCCCAAUCCACAGCUAGCUGUCAUCGUUCUGGAGCCCAGGAGGUCAACCUCAUUUUAAUUAAGACACACCAUUUAUUGAGUCCUGUUAUAGAACAUUGGCUCAUUCAAUUGUCGGGUAACUUUAUUUUCUUCUUCUUCUUAUUUUUUGAGAUGGAGUUUUGCUCUUGUUGCUCAGGCUGGAGUGUAAUGGUGUGAUUUUGGCACACUGCAACCUUCACCUCCCGGGUUCAAGCGAUUCUCCUGCCUCAGCCUCCCAAGUAGCUGGGAUUGCAGGCAUGCGCCACCAUGCCUGGCUAAUUUUGUAUUUUCAGUUGAGACGGGGUUUCUCCAUGUUAGUCAGGCUGGUCUCGAACUCCCGACCUCAGGUGAUCUGCCUGCCUUGGCCUCCCAAAGUGCUGGAAUUACAGACAUGAGACACCUCGCCUGGCCUACUUUUCUUUCUUUCUUUCUUUUUUUGAGACGUAGUCUUGCUGUCACCCAGGCUGGAGUGCAGUAGCACGAUCUAGGCUCUGCAACCUCCGCCUCCCAGGUUCAAGCAUUUCUCUUGCCUCAGCCUCCCAAGUAGCUGGGAUUGCAGGCAUGAGCCACCACGCCCAGCUAAGUUUUAUGUUUUUAGUAGAGAUGGGGUUUCCCCAUGUUGGCCAAGUUGGUCUCAAACUCCUGACUUCAGGGGAUCUGCCUGCCUCGGCCUCCCAAAGUGCUGGGAUUACAGGUGUGAGCCAUAGCGCCUUGACCCUCUGGUAAUUUUUUUUUUUUUGAGAUGGAGUCUCGCUCCUGUCACCCAGGCUGGAGUGCAGUGGCGAGUGUCACCCAGGCUGGAGUGCAGUGGCAUGAUCUCAGCUCACUGCACGUCCGCCUGUUGGGUUCAAGCAAUUCUGCUUCAACCUUCCGAGUAGCUGGAACUACAGGC
rnacentral:lncRNA from 1 species